rnacentral:misc_RNA from 1 species
AAGUCGUAACAAGGUUUCCGUAGGUGAACCUGCGGAAGGAUCAUUACCAAAAAAGCGAGAGAUCGCUUUUCCAGCCCGUUAGGCGGCCCGUACCCCGGGUCGCCGACCGGUCAACCCUUUGUGAACCAAAACAAACCUUUCGCUUCGGCAGCUGGGCCCUAAACCCACCCGUCAGCCUGCCGCUAGCACCAACUUCAAAACCUGUUUGUCAAAACAUUGUCUGAUAAAACCAAAAUUUUCGAAUGAAAAUCAAAACUUUCAACAACGGAUCUCUUGGUUCCCA